rnacentral:misc_RNA from 1 species
UCGGACUUCAUAUCCGCCUUGUUGUCCGGCUUGGCUUCGGGCGCUUUCGCCUCCCCCUGCAUGUCACCGGGUACCGACGCCAUCGCCUGCGCGGUUUUCGCCGCGGCCUCGCGCUGCUGUUUCACGUCUUUCUGAUAAUCGAACACCGCCUGCGCCAGUUCCGGUGUCGCUUGCAAACCAGGCGCAUCGAGCAGCGCCGCGUUGGGCCGGCCCAGUUCCGCUUUCACAAAGCCGC